rnacentral:rRNA from 1 species
AGGGAAAGCUGGAGGCAGGCCUAACACAUGCAAGUCGAACGGUAACAGGAAGAAGCUUGCUUCUUUGCUGACGAGUGGCGGACGGGUGAGUAAUGUCUGGGAAACUGCCUGAUGGAGGGGGAUAACUACUGGAAACGGUAGCUAAUACCGCAUAACGUCGCAAGACCAAAGAGGGGGACCUUCGGGCCUCUUGCCAUCGGAUGUGCCCAGAUGGGAUUAGCUAGUAGGUGGGGUAACGGCUCACCUAGGCGACGAUCCCUAGCUGGUCUGAGAGGAUGACCAGCCACACUGGAACUGAGACACGGUCCAGACUCCUACGGGAGGCAGCAGUGGGGAAUAUUGCACAAUGGGCGCAAGCCUGAUGCAGCCAUGCCGCGUGUAUGAAGAAGGCCUUCGGGUUGUAAAGUACUUUCAGCGGGGAGGAAGGGAGUAAAGUUAAUACCUUUACUCAUUGACGUUACCCGCAGAAGAAGCACCGGCUAACUCCGUG